UUCUUCCUGAUGUAAAUAACUACUACAAUGUCACUAAUCAGAAAGGCUGGGGACUGUCUUUAUUUCGUGAAAUGAUCAAAUUCAGGGGCAUUUUGAUAAUUGUUUGUUCAUUUUUUUUCCUUGGUAGAUUGUACCACAGAAAAUAAAACAAUUUUUUGGGGUGUUUUAUUGGAAUUUUCUUCUGUAAAUGUGCGCGAUUUUCUAAGUUCAACUUUGAAAGUGCAAGAUAGUUGUGAUAAGAGUUUCAUUUCGAAAUAAGAAAAAUGCAUCAUGGAAUUUUUUGAAUGGAUGAUCAAUCAGAUUAGAAAUCAUUCUUAACUAGCGAUUUCCUCUAGUCUUCAUUGUCAAAUCAUAACAUAAGUAUUUCUAUGUUAAAAACUUUUCUUCAAUUUUAAAUCAAAAGCUGAAACUAAAAUUUGAAAUAUAAACUUACUAUUUUCAUUAACAUCUUGUUUUUCUCGUCUUCUCUGUUAUAAUGUUCAUUUACCUUUCGCCCAAAAGAAAAAAAGGCUAAAAAUUCAUUUUCCACAAAAGCUACAAUGAAAUGUUUGGACCAAAAAAAAAAAAUGCUGCCCUGGUCCUCUUUCUGGCUGUCAUACUAUUCAGCCAUUCUUGAUUUCUUUGACUGAUUUUAAGGCCGGUAAAUCUGUUUGGGUUCCUAUUAUUUUCAUCUUGUACCUGAUACUUAUGAUUCAAUUAUUUUCUUAGAUUUGGAGUAGGCACCCAACUCCCACCCCUCUCCAAAAAAAACCUUCAUGCAUAAGAAGUUAUAUAUCCAUAACUGUUAGGCAAAUUAUAGUUCCUGUCGUAUUAGAAAUACUCUGGAUAUUUGUUGCCAAUGAUAAUAUUUCAUGAAAUUAUGCAAAUCCGUUUUUUCUGCUUCUCAUAUGCUUAUGCUUGACAUCACCAGUUUCUGUCCUGUGUCAUUUUUUUUCCUUUUAACCUGUGUACCACAUAUUGUUCUGAUCCUUUUGUAGUUUUCCAGCAUUGUCCUGUGAAUUUGCAUCCAUCGAUGUCAGUGACAUCUUGGGAACAGUGAGUUUUUUUCAUUCACUUCUUUUGGGUGUUAAUUCAGAAGUUAUCCUAAUUACCAAACGUGCUUGGGGAAUGAUAUUGUUGACUUUAGGAUGAAUAAACUUUCUCAGUGCUUGAUCUAUUACUACCAGUACUAGGGGCAGAUCCAGCACCGGCGAGCUGGGAACUGCCGCCCGUGCUGGAUCAGCCGAGAAAAAAGAUUAAUUAAGAUUUAUAUAAAAUAUGUGUGUGUGUGUGUGUGUGUGUACAACAUUUACUGUAAUGGCGUGUAGAUCAUAUGGAAGAGUGUUUACCUUUCCAUGUGAGAUACCUUGGUUCGAUU
rnacentral:lncRNA from 1 species